UGCUGAUGUAAAAUGGUUGGA
ensembl:piRNA 21ur-3548 ncRNA